rnacentral:misc_RNA from 1 species
AGCAGCCGCGGUAAUUCCAGCUCCAAUAGCGUAUAUUAAAGUUGUUGCAGUUAAAAAGCUCGUAGUUGAAUUUCGGGAUUGACGUGAUGGUCAUGCCUUAAGGGGUAUGAACUGUUACUGUUGAUUUCUCACCUUCUGGAGAAACUUGAUGUCCUUUAUUGGGUGUCUUGCGGAUCCAGGACCUUUACCUUGAAAAAAUUAGAGUGUUUAAAGCAGGCAUUUUUGCUCGAAUACAUUAGCAUGGAAUAAUAGAAUAGGACGGCAUGGUUCUAUUUUGUUGGUUUCUAGGAUCACCGUAAUGAUUAAUAGGGAUAGUUGGGGGCAUUAGUAUUCAAUUGUCAGAGGUGAAAUUCUUGGAUUUAUUGAAGACUAACUACUGCGAAAGCAUUUGCCAAGGAUGUUUUCAUUAAUCAAGAACGAAAGUUAGGGGAUCGAAGACGAUCAGAUACCGUCGUAGUCUUAACCAUAAACUAUGCCGACUAGGAAUCAGACGAUGUAAUUUUUUCAAUGA